rnacentral:rRNA from 1 species
UACGAAGGGGGCUAGCGUUGUUCGGAGUUACUGGGCGUAAAGGGCGCGUAGGCGGCGCAUCAAGUCAGGCGUGAAAGCCCGGGGCUCAACUCCGGAAUUGCCUUUAAGACUGCAUCGCUAGAAUUGUGGAGAGGUAAGUGGAAUUCCGAGUGUAGAGGUGAAAUUCGUAGAUAUUCGGAAGAACACCAGUGGCGAAGGCGACUUACUGGACACAUAUUGACGCUGAGGUGCGAAAGCGUGGGGAGCAAACAGG